rnacentral:lncRNA from 1 species
UUCUUUUUUACUUUUUCUACUUGUAUGUUUCACUUCAGUUAAUUAAACUUUUGUUUUGUGUAAGUAGUUUUGAAGAAAGCUACUUUAUACAAAUUAUAAUUUGUACAAAGCAACAGUGUACUGUAGUACUGUACUUUAUUUUAAGUAAUACUUCCAGAUACUUUCUCCAUCACUGUCUAAAGUGGACCUGAAUUGAGCUGGACCUGAUGUGAACUAGACUAAAGUGGGCUGGACGUGCAAGUGAAUGAGAUCUGAAGUUAAUUGGACCUAAAGGACUAGAUGGUUGGAGGAAGGCAUAAGGUCGAGCAUGACCCAACACACACACAACCAUUGCUGGUGUUGGCUGGGCAGAAGCCGUCACUUGUGCACCAAGAUGUCUUCACGUUUUAGCUCUGGUCUAUAGUCUCAAAUGAGGAGACGUCUGGUCCUGCAGCAACACAGCACAGCACCUUAUAUCACGGCUCCUGUACAGAAGAAAACUUAUCUACUGAUUCUUGGCAGAUUAUGUUACCAUUUGAGGUGAACUGAAGCCUUGAUGUAAUAGUGAUUGAAGACUACAGUACAGGAGGAGAGAGAGUGUUAUCUGUCAUUGGUAUUAGAAUAGUUAGCAACUGUGUGUUAGUAACUUACAGGGUUCAGUUUAACACAGAUAGGCUCAUCAUAUAUUUUAAUAAAGUACAGGUAUCCCCCAAGAUACUUACAGUAUGUCCAAUAAAUGAACAAUCAUAAUUACAAAAAUAUCAGUUUGACUUUUAACAAAUUCCCCUCAGUCACACGGUCAGUAUAGCCCAGUGGUGCAUUGGCACUAUUGCAGAAUGUUGGUUGUGUUUAAUGUAUUUAUUAUUUUACAAGAAUUAUAUUGGUGAAAAACCCA